AGGCAGAAACUCCAAGCUGUGCCCAACUGGGCAGAGGGAUCCUCCUCCUGUCAUCAUUGAUAGUCAAUAAGCAUUUGUGCUGUACUGGAACAUUGUGUUGAACGCUGAGCUUCCCAAUUCAACAGCAACAGGAACUACUGGAAAGAGACCAACAGAGGCCUAAGAGGAUGAUUAAGAGAAUAGAACAUCUCUCCUAUAAAAAAAGGUUGAGAGACCUUAAGCUGUUUAGCCUGGAGAAAAGAAGGUUGAGAGAGAUGAGUAUGAAUAAAUUAAGGGUAGGUGUUUUCACUGAUGGUCAGCGAUAAGACAAGGGCCAACAGAUGAAAUCUGGAACAGAAGUUCCUCCUCAACAUGAGAAGACUCUUCUUUACUUUGAGGAUGACAGAGCACUGGAACAGGUUGUCCAGGGAGGUUGUGGGGUCUUCUUCUCUGGAGGCUUUCAAAUCCCACCUGGAUGCCUCCCUGCAUGACUUACUCUAGGUGACCCUGCUUUGGCAGGGCAGCUGGACUAUGUGAUCCUCAGGGGUCCCUUCCAACCCUACCAUUCUGUGAUUCUAAGCUGUUUUUCAGGGCAAAUUUAACAGGCAAAAGUUUGCUUGCCUAGUGGUUGGUUGUGGUCUCUCCUUGUCUCUGGUUAAGAGUGCCAUGUAUGUGUUUGAGAUGAUGAAUUCACAUGGGGGAGAGAGAUAAGAACACACUUCUUUUACAGUGAAGAAGGGACAUACUAAAUCAUAGUGGUGUUUUCAGUGCCUGGAAGAAAGGAUACUUUCUGUUUCAAUUCUUCUUUCAUAUGAGUGUAAAUACUUAAUUCCUCAAACUCAGUACCUGUUUCUUAGCUGCUACCUUAAUAAAAAGAUAUUUUCCUCCAA